GCAGUGGUAGUUCAGUGGUAGAAUUCUUGUCUUCCAUAUGGGAGACCUGGGUUAGAUUCCUGACCACUGGA
rnacentral:tRNA from 1 species